GACGAACGCUGGCGGCGUGCUUAACACAUGCAAGUCGAACGGAAAGGUCCUGCCUUUGUGGGGUGCUCUAGUGGCGAACGGGUGAGUAACACGUGAGUAACCUGCCCUUGCCCUUGGGAUAACCUCAGGCAACUGGGUCUAAUACCGGAUAGGAUCUCUUGCUGCUUGGUGGGGGUGGGAAAGUUUCGGCGGUUGGUGAUGGACUCGCGGCUCAUCAGCUUGUUGGUGGGGUAGUGUCUUAGCAAGGCCUGGACGGGUAGCAGGGCUGGGAGGAGGAGCGGACAAGUUAGGCCUGGGAUGAGGCCCGGACUACUACGGGAGGCAGCAGUGGGGAAUAUUGCACAAUGGGCGGAAGCCUGGUGCAGCAAAGCCACGUGCGGGAUGACGGCAUGGGGUUAGUGAACCGCUUUCGCCUGUGACGAAGCGUGAGUGACAGUAAUGGGUAAAGAAGCACCGGCUAACUACGUG
rnacentral:rRNA from 1 species